rnacentral:rRNA from 1 species
GAUGAGGCAUGCAAGUCGUACGAAAAAAGACUUCGGUCUUUUUUAGUGGCGAAAGGGUUAGUAAUACAUGGGUAAUCUGCCCCUUACUCAGGGAUAACGGCUGGAAACGGCCGCUAAUACCUAAUGUGGUAGGGCAAGGCAUCUUGCUACUAUUAAAGCGGGGGAUCUUCGGACCUCGCGGUAAGGGAAGAGCCCAUGGGAUAUCAGCUAGUUGGUAGGGUAAUGGCCUACCAAGGCUAAGACGUCUAGGCGGAUUGAGAGAUUGACCGCCAACACUGGGACUGAGAUACUGCCCAGACUCCUACGGGAGGCUGCAGUCGAGAAUCAUUCGCAAUGGGCGAAAGCCUGACGAUGCGACGCCGUGUGAGCGAUGAAGGCCUUAGGGUUGUAAAGCUCUUUCGCCUGGGAACAAGAGAUAGUGGCUAACAUCCAUUAAAUUUGAGGGUACCAGGUAAAGAAGCACCGGCUAACUCCGUGCCAGCAGCUGCGGUAAUACGGAGGGUGCAAGCAUUAAUCGGAUUUAUUGGGCGUAAAGGGCGCGUAGGCGGGUAUGAAAGUCAGAUGUGAAAUCCCAGAGCUCAACUCUGGAACUGCAUCCGAAACUCCAUAUCUUGAGGGUAGACGGAGAAAGCGGAAUUCUACAAGUAGCGGUGAAAUGCGUAGAUAUGUAGAGGAACACCGGUGGCGAAGGCGGCUUUCUAGUUUACACCUGACGCUGAGGCGCGAAAGCAAGGGGAGCAAACAGGAUUAGAUACCCUGGUAGUCCUUGCCGUAAACGAUGUAUACUUGGUGUAGUUGGACUCAACCCCGACUGUGCCGAAGCUAACGUGUUAAGUAUACCGCCUGGGGAGUACGCUCGCAAGGGUGAAACUCAAAAGAAUUGACGGGGACCCGCACAAGCAGUGGAGCAUGUGGUUUAAUUCGAUGCAACGCGAAGAACCUUACCUAGGUUUGACAUGUAGUAGACCGCUUCAGAAAUGAAGCUUUUCUUCGGAACUGCUACACAGGUGCUGCAUGGCUGUCGUCAGCUCGUGCCGUGAGGUGUUGGGUUAAGUCCCGCAACGAGCGCAACCCUUAUCAUUAGUUGCCAGCAUUUCGGAUGGGAACUCUAAUGAGACUGCCCGGGUUAACCGGGAGGAAGGUGAGGAUGACGUCAAGUCCGCAUGGCCCUUACAUCUAGGGCUACACACGUGCUACAAUGGCCGGUACAGAAGGUGGCAAUACCGCGAGGUGGAGCAAAUCCCAAAAGCCGGUCUCAGUUCGGAUUGUAGUCUGCAACUCGACUACAUGAAGCUGGAAUUGCUAGUAAUGGCGCGUCAGCAACAGCGCCGUGAAUACGUUCCCGGGUCUUGUACACACCGCCCGUCACAUCACGGGAGUUGGUUUCACCCGAAGCCGCCGACCCAACCCGCAAGGGAGGGAAGCGUCGAAGGUGAGGCUGAUGACUAGGAUGAAGUCGAAACAAGGUA